rnacentral:tRNA from 1 species
CCCUGGUUAGCGCAGUUGGUAGAGCGCUCCACUGGAAAUGGAGAGGUCCCGGGUUCGUAUACCCGGACCAGGGG